rnacentral:lncRNA from 1 species
CUCUCUCUCCCCCUGCCUCUCUCCCCCAGCCACUCUCUCUCCCCCUGCCACUCUCUCUCCCCCUGCCACUCUCUCUCCCCCUGCCUCUCUCUCCCCCUGCCACUCUCUCUCCCCCUGCCUCUCUCCCCCUGCCACUCUCUCUCCCCCUGCCUCUCUCCCCCAGCCUCUCUCUCUCCCCCUGCCUCUCUCCCCCAGCCUCUCUCUCUCCCCUGCCUCUCUCCUAUCACGCUCUCAUCCAUCUCUCUCUGUUUGUCCUCCAUUUAAAAAAGCCCAUCCCUCUCUUUCUCAAUGACUCUAGCAAACGGCUCGUCUUUCCCUGUCUACCCGUUGCCAAACACACACACACACACACACACACACACACACACACACACACACACACACACACACACAAAGAUGCGAACGGAAUGAGAGAAUAAAAAGAGAAGGAGGAGGAAGAUUUAUAUCUGCUGUGAGAUCAGCUGAUAUUCUCUCCCUCUCCCUCUCCCUCUCUCUCUCUCUCUCUCUCUCUCUCUCUCUCUCUCUCUCUCAGCUCAGACAGAAAGCAACACUACUAUUUUGACAAGCUGCGCCUCACACACAUUCACACACUCAACACACACACACACACACACACUCCUGCCGCAUGCACGACUGCACACAAAACCACACACUCACUCUCUCUCUCUCUCUCACACACACACAAAGACAUCCGCUGGAUACUGGCACACGCUGGAGCAGAGGAAUCAGAAACAUAGCGACACAGAAGGGCUAGCAGGCAGACAGACAGGCGGAAACACAAUCCCUGUACUGGACUGGACUGGGAGAGACUAUACUGGGAGGCAGAUGUACUGUACUGGGAUAUAUUUAUACUGGGGAGGCUAACCUCGUCAUGGCAACAAACCGACCUCUCUAAGGAUUAAACUCUUCCUCCAAAAGGACUUCCUCCUCCUUCCUCCUCCUCAUCUCCUCAUUCAUUUUUCACCAUCCUUUUUUUCUACAAUCGUUCCUAUGUAAAAUGUGAUUGGUUGUUGCUGCCGUCCGGAGAUCGAUGUGAGGAUUAUACCAACAGCUCUUUCUCUCCGCUUCUUUAUGUUAGGAUAGAUUUUUUUGUGACGGUUUUGGCGUUGGGGUUGGUGGUGGGUGGCUGGUAUUUUGGAAGGGCGGAGUAUCUCUUCCUUGCCCCCUUCCCCAGGAGGAGGCUGGCAUCGGGGCGUCCUGAUGCCAGGGCUCGUCUAGAGAGGGUGGACGCGGGACGCUCCGACAUGCCCCACCCCCUUCCCUCUGCCGGGCCCCCUGAUUGGCGGAGCCAGGGGAGGACCUCGCACACAACCAAACCAACCAGACCUGGUGAGUCGAUCAUAGAGACAUGGGGGACACUAAUAGGAAUAGACGAGACGAGUAGAACCCAGAGCUUGAGAGAUGAGAUGAAUAAUUUCAAGUAAAUGGCAAAGCGCAUGUUACGACACACACACACACACACACACACACACACACACACACACACACACACACACACACACACACACACACACACACACACACACACACACACACACACACACACACCACACACACACACACACACACAAAGAGUGAGGAGAAAUGCUAAGAAAUGCUGAGGGAUAUCUAGAACAAGACCAACACUGAAGGGAGCAGCCGU